UACGAAGGGGGCUAGCGUUGUUCGGAUUUACUGGGCGUAAAGCGCACGUAGGCGGUUUGUUAAGUCAGGGGUGAAAUCCCAGAGCUCAACUCUGGAACUGCCUUUGAUACUGGGUAUCUUGAGUAUGGAAGAGGUAAGUGGAAUUGCGAGUGUAGAGGUGAAAUUCGUAGAUAUUCGCAGGAACACCAGUGGCGAAGGCGGCUUACUGGUCCAUUACUGACGCUGGAGGUGACGAAAGCGGUGGGGAGCAAACAGG
rnacentral:rRNA from 1 species